UUUUGCUGAGGAGAUGAUGAAUAUCAGAGGCUGUUUCUGAGGAUGAGCUCAGAGCUCUACCUAUGUUGCAAAAGUACUGACUUGCCUAUCUGAUCCAAAU
rfam:Triticum urartu cultivar G1812 contig543152, whole genome shotgun sequence.